GCCCUGGUCGUAUAGAGGGUCAACCGUACCACGGUCUAGUAUGCGAGACUGUCACUCUCGUGACCCGGGUUCGAAUCCCGGCCAGGGCG
rnacentral:tRNA from 1 species